AAGGAUUGAAGGGCCGCAGUAGCCUGACUGUGCUAAGGUAGCAUAAUCAUUAGGUUUUUAAUUGGGAUCUGGUAUGAAUGGAUGAAUGAUAGAGGGCUGUCUAUAGGGUAGAUUUUGAAUUUAAAGUCUUAGUAAUAAUGCUAGGAUGCACUUGUGGGACGAUAAGACCCUAUAAAGCUUUAUUUGUAAGCUCUUGAUACUUUCACUAAUUUGAGGGUGGGUUAAAUUUGACUGGGGCGGUAGUUAGGAACAUAAUAGAUGAACGGAGGUUAAGGAUCCACUAGUAGUGAAUAGAGAUUAAGUUACUUUAGGGAUAACAGCAUAAUAUACCUAUGGAGUUCUAAUCGAAGGGUAUGAUUGUGACCUCGAUGUUGAAUUAAUUUUAUUGUGUGGUGAAGAAGCUACGUGAGUUAGUCUGUUCGACUAUUGAAAGAUUACAUGAUUUGAGUUCAAACCGGUGUGAG
rnacentral:rRNA from 1 species